rnacentral:rRNA from 1 species
UACGGGGGGGGCAAGCGUUGUUCGGAAUUACUGGGCGUAAAGGGCUCGUAGGCGGCCAACUAAGUCAGACGUGAAAUCCCCAGGCUCAACCUGGGAACUGCGUCUGAUACUGAUUGGCUUGAAUCCGGGAGAGGGAUGCAGAAUUCCAGGUGUAGCGGUGAAAUGCGUAGAUAUCUGGAGGAAUACCGGUGGCGAAGGCGGCAUCCUGGACCGGCAUUGACGCUGAGGCGCGAAAGCCAGGGGAGCAAACGGG